CCAACAGUGAAAAGAGAGGAAGAGUAGGAGGGAGAGGCAAGGGACAACAGUGAAGACAAACUCAAAGACGAAGAGUUGGAGGAGGAGGAAGGAGAACCAUCUCUGAUGAGAUUAGGGCAACGCUUGUUGAUCAUGUGAUCAACCACGGUUUGACCAUGAGAGAGGCUCGAACUGAAUGUCCAGCCCAACCUGAGUCGAUUUACAGUGGCGUCCAUAAUUCAAACCUUCAGAAAUGAGAACAGAGUGGAAAGGCAAAGACAUCAUGGAGGACGAGGACGCUUGGUUUUGGCCAACAAUUAAAUUAGGAUUCGAGAGAUAAGAGCAUAUCUUGAAUAAAGUCACCAUAUUUAACAACA